UACGGAGGAUGCAAGCGUUAUCCGGAAUGAUUGGGCGUAAAGGGUCCGCAGGUGGCAGUGUAAGUCUGCUGUCAAAGAAUGAGGCUUAACCUCAUCAAGGCAGUGGAAACUACACAGCUAGAGUACGGUCGGGGUAGAAGGAAUUCCUGGUGUAGCGGUGAAAUGCGUAGAUAUCGGGAGGAACACCUGAGGCGAAGGCGGGCUACUGGGCCGAUACUGACGCUGAGGCGCGAAAGCCAGGGGAGCAAACGGG
rnacentral:rRNA from 1 species